CCCUUAGAUGUUCUGGGCCGCACGCGCGCUACACUGACGAAUGCAACGAGCUUAUAACCUUGGCCGAAAGGUCUGGGUAAUCUCCAAAUUUCGUCGUGAUGGGGAUAGAUUAUUGCAAUUAUUAAUCUUCAACGAGGAAUGCCUAGUAAACGCAAGUCAUCAACUUGCAUUGAUUACGUCCCUGCCCUUUGUACACACCGCCCGUCGCACCUACCGAUUGAAUGGUCCGGUGAAGCCUCCGGAUUGGCGCGCACCUCGGUGCCGCCGAGAAGUUGGCUAAACCUUACCAUUUAGAGGAAGGUGAAGUCGUAACA
rnacentral:rRNA from 1 species